GCACCACUAGUAUAGUGGUUAGUAUACUUGGCUUCCAACCAGGUGAGAUGGGUUCGAAUCCCAUGUGGUGCUA
rnacentral:tRNA from 2 species